rnacentral:rRNA from 1 species
UACGUAGGGGGCAAGCGUUAUCCGGAUUUACUGGGUGUAAAGGGAGCGCAGACGGCAUGGCAAGUCUGAAGUGAAAGGCAUGGGCUCAACCCGUGGACUGCUUUGGAAACUGUCAGGCUAGAGUGUCGGAGAGGCAAGUGGAAUUCCUAGUGUAGCGGUGAAAUGCGUAGAUAUUAGGAGGAACACCAGUGGCGAAGGCGGCUUGCUGGACGAUGACUGACGUUGAGGCUCGAAAGCGUGGGGAGCAAACAGG